rnacentral:rRNA from 1 species
GAGUUUGAUCCUGGCUCAGGAUGAACGCUGGCGGCGUGCUUAACACAUGCAAGUCGAGCGAUGAAGUUUCCUUCGGGAAAUGGAUUAGCGGCGGACGGGUGAGUAACACGUAGGUAACCUGCCUCAUAGAGUGGAAUAGCCUUCCGAAAGGAAGAUUAAUACCGCAUAAUGUUGAAAGAUGGCAUCAUCAUUUAACCAAAGGAGCAAUCCGCUAUGAGAUGGACCCGCGGCGCAUUAGCUAGUUGGUGGGGUAACGGCCUACCAAGGCGACGAUGCGUAGCCGACCUGAGAGGGUGAUCGGCCACAUUGGGACUGAGACACGGCCCAGACUUCUACGGGAGGCAGCAGUGGGGAAUAUCGCACAAUGGGGGGAACCCUGAUGCAGCAACGCCGCGUGAGUGAUGAAGGUUUUCGGAUCGUAAAGCUCUGUCUUUGGGGAAGAUAAUGACGGUACCCAAGGAGGAAGCCACGGCUAACUACGUGCCAGCAGCCGCGGUAAUACGUAGGUGGCGAGCGUUAUCCGGAUUUACUGGGCGUAAAGGGAGCGUAGGCGGAUGAUUAAGUGGGAUGUGAAAUACCCGGGCUCAACUU